UUUAACGGCCGCGGUAUUUUGACCGUGCAAAGGUAGCGCAAUCACUUGUCCUUUAAAUGAGGACCUGUAUGAAAGGCAAAACGAGGGCUUUACUGUCUCCCCAUUCAAGUCAGUGAAAUUGAUCUGCCCGUGCAGAAGCGGACAUAAUUAUACAAGACGAGAAGACCCUUUGGAGCUUAAGACACAAGCCAACUAUGUUAAUAAACCACAUCACCUGGCUUAAACUAAAUAGAUACUGGCCCCCGUCUUCGGUUGGGGCGACCGCGGGGGAAAACAAAGCCCCCACGUGGAGUGAGGAUAUUACCUUACAACCAAGAGAGACCCCUCUAAGUCACAGAACUUCUGACCAGAAAGAUCCGGCCCUUAGCCGAUCAACGAACCAAGUUACCCUAGGGAUAACAGCGCAAUCCCCUCCGAGAGUCCCUAUCGACAAGGGGGUUUACGACCUCGAUGUUGGAUCAGGACACCCUAAUGGUGCAGCCGCUAUUAAGGGUUCGUUUGUUCAACGAUUAAAGUCCUAC
rnacentral:rRNA from 1 species